ensembl:lincRNA
AAGAGAAAGAUCCAGUCUGCUCUUAUCCUUGACAAUGGACCAGUCAGGGACAUUGACAGACGAGAAACACCUUAGGGGAAAGGUGCUGAGUCACAAAACCAAGGAGUGAUGUUCUUUCUCAGGGAAGGAGAGAAUGCCAGAGCCAGGUGUGGGUGAAAAAGCCCAGUCUGUGGACCCAGUGGUCAGUUAUCCUAGCCCUGCCACUGAGUGCUGGGCAACCCGGGGCAGGUUACUCAAUGUCUCAGAGCCUCAGUUUCUCCAUCUGUAAAAUGGGCAGGUAAAGCCCAUGCUAUGAUCGGUGCAGGGCUGGGUUGGGAUUCAGUGACAGCGCUCACCUCCAGCAUGGCCCUUGGCACAGGUCAGGACAGAAUGCGUUGCUCCCCACUGUCCAUCCUCAGGCCUACUGGAGAAGCAGGGUCUCUCUAGAUCAUGGAGGUGUGGAAGGGCAUUCCAGGUGCAGGGAGCAGCCUGUGCAAAGGCCCAGAAACCAGAGGGGGUCAGGAGUGCUUGGGGAGAAGCAUGCAGUGUCCCUGGGGUGUCACAGAGUGGGGUGAAGCUGCUGGGAGCCAUGAUGUGCAGAGGGAGGGCUGCUGUACUCUUUGUGGUACCUACAUCAGUCUGGGCAUGGAAUGUCACUUGCCUCCUGGGACCCCCCCCUCAGCCAGAAAGGAGCAGAAAAGUCAAACAACGACAACAGAAUCAUCAGAAAGAGAAGAGGUGCUCCCGGGCAAACCCCAUUCCUCACUACACAGAGUAACUGGAUCUGACACCCAGCAUGGGAAUGUUGGAGGUGUUGAGAAGACCUGGCCAACUUAUAUUCUGACCCAAAGAACUGGGUUUAAGUAUGUUCCCCUCAAAUGUCAGCUGGGGAGUAGAAGAACAAGUCUCCUGAUGAGCCCAGGGCAUGCCACCAGCCCAGAACAGAUUGGGAGAAGCAGCCCGAGAGAUUACAGGGAACAAGGAGGAUGAGGAAUAAAAGGAGAAAAAAAGAGGAAAAAAGAAAAGAGAAAAGAGAUGUUCAUUGUCUGUGUUGAGUCUGAAGCCCAGGACUUUGAGUGCUGCACCAAUAAGCCAGGAGAAUCAGAGGGCAGUUUUUAAACCUUGGACAUGUGUACACAUUGUGCUCACCAUCAUGUUCAGAUCCUGCAAAAAGGUACCGAUUCUUUAGAAGAGAAAGAUCAAGCAUGUCGUGAGCUCUCCAUGCCCGGGCACAGAUCUGGGAAUCAGAGUACACAUUUCUGUGUAGAAAGCCUGGACCCCACCACCAUCCUACCUACUGUAGACUCUAAUGACUCCAGGGCUGGGAUGGGAUUGAGGCCCCUACAGACACUACUCCAGGCUUCAAGGGCUCUUGGGAGGGGACAAAAGGGAGCCCACCUGGAUGGGCCAGACUGUGCCGCAGCUGAAGAUGUCAUUGCCACUACUGAGGCAGCAGGUCACAGGACCAACAGGAUCCCAGCAGGCCUAAGGCUCCUUCAUGGAAGAAGACAGUCAUCCCUUGCAAAGCCCCUGGCUGGGGCACUGUAGGGUGUCUCAUGUGGGCUCAUAUACCAACCUGUCUGCUAUGGUCACCACGUAGAAGCUGUGCUGUUCUCCUGGCUGUGACUGGUCUCUCUACUCAGGGAGCUUCAGGAACGCCAUUAAGUGCCCUAUUGGUCACAUCCCAGAGGCUUGGGAAGGUUGUGCCAGGCCAAGGAGAGCCUCUCGUUCUCCAGUUCCCAGAGCAGGGUUGGUUCCACGCAGUCAGAGGGUAAACCUCUGCUUCCUAGCUCCAUGACUUACUUUGCCCCUUGGCUCCUGAGCAUCCACUGAGUGCCAGCUCCCACUGGCAACAAGACUACAGGGGUAAAGGAGGUGGGGUUCCAGUGUCUGUCCUUGGGGAAUGCUGCAUCUUCUGGGAACAUGGGCGUCAAACUAAGAAGACGGUGGCUGAAGGGGCUCCUUUGUGUGGCAGGAAAAUAAGAUAGGAUGAUGUAUGGAUUUGCACAAAAAAUGAAAAUCACGGCAAAUGGUAAUUUCACAGAUAAAUAAUAAAAUACUUUUUCC